AACGCUGGCGGCGUGCCUAAUACAUGCAAGUCGAACGCUUCACUUCGGUGAAGAGUGGCGAACGGGUGAGUAAUACAUAAGUAACCUGGCAUCUACAGGGGGAUAACUGAUGGAAACGUCAGCUAAGACCGCAUAGGUGUAGAGAUCGCAUGAACUCUAUAUGAAAAGUGCUACGGGACUGGUAGAUGAUGGACUUAUGGCGCAUUAGCUUGUUGGUAGGGUAACGGCCUACCAAGGCGACGAUGCGUAGCCGACCUGAGAGGGUGACCGGCCACACUGGGACUGAGACACGGCCCAGACUCCUACGGGAGGCAGCAGUAGGGAAUUUUCGGCAAUGGGGGAAACCCUGACCGAGCAACGCCGCGUGAAGGAAGAAGUAAUUCGUUAUGUAAACUUCUGUCAUAGAGGAAGAACGGUGGAUAUAGGGAAUGAUAUCCAAGUGACGGUACUCUAUAAGAAAGCCACGGCUAACUACGUGCCAGCAGCCGCGGUAAUACGUAGGUGGCGAGCGUUAUCCGGAAUUAUUGGGCGUAAAGAGGGAGCAGGCGGCACUAAGGGUCUGUGGUGAAAGAUCGAAGCUUAACUUCGGUAAGCCAUGGAAACCGUAGAGCUAGAGUGUGUGAGAGGAUCGUGGAAUUCCAUGUGUAGCGGUGAAAUGCGUAGAUAUAUGGAGGAACACCAGUGGCGAAGGCGACGAUCUGGCGCAUAACUGACGCUCAGUCCCGAAAGCGUGGGGAGCAAAUAGGAUUAGAUACCCUAGUAGUCCACGCCGUAAACGAUGAGUACUAAGUGUUGGGUGUCAAAGCUCAGUGCUGCAGUUAACGCAAUAAGUACUCCGCCUGAGUAGUACGAUCGCAAGGAUGAAAC
rnacentral:rRNA from 1 species